UACAGAGGGUGCGAGCGUUGUCCGGAAUCACUGGGCGUAAAGGGCGCGUAGGCGGCGCGGUAAGCGUGCGGUGAAAGCCCGGGGCUCAACCCCGGAGGGUCUCUCGAAACUGCCGAGCUAGAGUGCGGAAGAGGCAAUCGGAAUUCCCAGUGUAGCGGUGAAAUGCGUAGAUAUUGGGAAGAACACCGGAGGCGAAGGCGGAUUGCUGGGCCGACACUGACGCUGAGGCGCGAAAGCCAGGGGAGCAAACGGG
rnacentral:rRNA from 1 species